rnacentral:tRNA from 1 species
UCCCUUGUAGCUCAGUUGGUAAAGAAUCUGCCUGAAAUGCAGGAGACCCAGGUUUGAUCCCUGGGUCGGGAA